rnacentral:rRNA from 1 species
AGUGAACGCUGGCGGUAGGCCUAACACAUGCAAGUCGAACGGCAGCACAGGAGAGCUUGCUCUCUGGGUGGCGAGUGGCGGACAGGUGAGGAAUACAUCGGAAUCUACUCUGUCGUGGGGGAUAACGUAGGGAAACUUACGCUAAUACCGCAUACGACCUACGGGUGAAAGCAGGGGACCUUCGGGCCUUGCGCGAUUGAAUGAGCCGAUGUCGGAUUAGCUAGUUGGCGGGGUAAAGGCCCACCAAGGCGACGAUCCGUAGCUGGUCUGAGAGGAUGAUCAGCCACACUGGAACUGAGACACGGUCCAGACUCCUACGGGAGGCAACAGUGGGGAAUAUUGGACAAUGGGCGCAAGCCUGAUCCAGCCAUACCGCGUGGGUGAAGAAGGCCUUCGGGUUGUAAAGCCCUUUUGUUGGGAAAGAAAUCCAGCUGGCUAAUACCCGGUUGGGAUGACGGUACCCAAAGAAUAAGCACCGGCUAACUUCGUGCCAGCCGCCGCGGUAA